UGGGGAAUAUUGCACAAUGGGCGCAAGCCUGAUGCAGCCAUGCCGCGUGUAUGAAGAAGGCCUUCGGGUUGUAAAGUACUUUCAGCGGGGAGGAAGGGAGUAAAGUUAAUACCUUUGCUCAUUGACGUUACCCGCAGAAGAAGCACCGGCUAACUCCGUGCCAGCAGCCGCGGUAAUACGGAGGGUGCAAGCGUUAAUCGGAAUUACUGGGCGUAAAGCGCACGCAGGCGGUUUGUUAAGUCAGAUGUGAAAUCCCCGGGCUCAACCUGGGAACUGCAGCUGAUACUGGCAAGCUUGAGUCUCGUAGAGGGGGGUAGAAUUCCAGGUGUAGCGGUGAAAUGCGUAGAGAUCUGGAGGAAUACCGGUGGCGAAGGCGUCCCCCUGGACGGAGACUGACGCUCAGGUGCGAAAGCGUGGGGAGCAAACAGG
rnacentral:rRNA from 1 species